ACCUGCCCAGAAGUAGGGGAUAACACCUGGAAACAGAUGCUAAUACCGUAUAACAGAGAAAACCGCAUGGUUUUCUUUUAAAAGAUGGCUCUGCUAUCACUUCUGGAUGGACCCGCGGCGUAUUAGCUAGUUGGUGAGGUAAAGGCUCACCAAGGCAGUGAUACGUAGCCGACCUGAGAGGGUAAUCGGCCACAUUGGGACUGAGACACGGCCCAGACUCCUACGGGAGGCAGCAGUAGGGAAUCUUCCACAAUGGACGCAAGUCUGAUGGAGCAACGCCGCGUGAGUGAAGAAGGGUUUCGGCUCGUAAAGCUCUGUUGUUAAAGAAGAACGUGGGUAAGAGUAACUGUUUACCCAGUGACGGUAUUUAACCAGAAAGCCACGGCUAACUACGUGCCAGCAGCCGCGGUAAUACGUAGGUGGCAAGCGUUAUCCGGAUUUAUUGGGCGUAAAGCGAGCGCAGGCGGUCUUUUAAGUCUAAUGUGAAAGCCUUCGGCUCAACCGAAGAAGUGCAUUGGAAACUGGGAGACUUGAGUGCAGAAGAGGACAGUGGAACUCCAUGUGUAGCGGUGAAAUGCGUAGAUAUAUGGAAGAACACCAGUGGCGAAGGCGGCUGUCUGGUCUGCAACUGACGCUGAGGCUCGAAAGCAUGGGUAGCGAACAGGAUUAGAUACCCUGGUAGUCCAUGCCGUAAACGAUGAUUACUAAGUGUUGGAGGGUUUCCGCCCUUCAGUGCUGCAGCUAACGCAUUAAGUAAUCCGCCUGGGGAGUACGACCGCAAGGUUGAAACUCAAAAGAAUUGACGGGGGCCCGCACAAGCGGUGGAGCAUGUGGUUUAAUUCGAAGCUACGCGAAGAACCUUACCAGGUCUUGACAUCUUCUGACAGUCUAAGAGAUUAGAGGUUCCCUUCGGGGACAGAAUGACAGGUGGUGCAUGGUUGUCGUCAGCUCGUGUCGUGAGAUGUUGGGUUAAGUCCCGCAACGAGCGCAACCCUUAUUACUAGUUGCCAGCAUUAAGUUGGGCACUCUAGUGAGACUGCCGGUGACAAACCGGAGGAAGGUGGGGACGACGUCAAAUCAUCAUGCCCCUUAUGACCUGGGCUACACACGUGCUACAAUGGAUGGUACAACGAGUCGCGAGACCGCGAGGUUAAGCUAAUCUCUUAAAACCAUUCUCAGUUCGGACUGUAGGCUGCAACUCGCCUACACGAAGUCGGAAUCGCUAGUAAUCGCGGAUCAGCAUGCCGCGGUGAAUACGUUCCCGGGCCUUGUACACACCGCCCGUC
rnacentral:rRNA from 1 species